rnacentral:rRNA from 1 species
CCUAUUAUUUUUGUUGUAAAAUUUUAAGUCAGAGUAUUAUUUGUUAUAGUCUUGAAACUUAAAGAAUUUGGCGGUAUUAUAGUCUAUUUAGAGGAAUCUGUUAUGUAAUUGAUAAUCCACGUAGAACCUUACUUAUAUUAGUUCUUGUACACCACUGUUUGAGAAUAUACUUUUAGGUAAAUUUUCAAAAUAUAAAAAUAAAUAAUAUUUCAAGUCAAGGUGCAGUUAUAUAUAAGUUGAAGUAAUGGAUUACAAUAAAUUUUAUUUAUUAUGAAUUAUUAUUGUAAGAUAAUUUGA